CCUACGGGAGGCAGCAGUGGGGAAUUUUGGACAAUGGGGGCAACCCUGAUCCAGCCAUGCCGCGUGAGUGAAGAAGGCCUUCGGGUUGUAAAGCUCUUUCGGCCGGAACGAAAUCGCGCACGUGAAUAACGUGCGUGGAUGACGGUACCGGAGUAAGAAGCACCGGCUAACUACGUGCCAGCAGCCGCGGUAAUACGUAGGGUGCGAGCGUUAAUCGGAAUUACUGGGCGUAAAGCGUGCGCAGGCGGUUCGCUAAGUCAGACGUGAAAGCCCCGGGCUUAACCUGGGAACGGCGUUUGAAACUGGCGGGCUCGAGUACGGCAGAGGGGGGUGGAAUUCCACGUGUAGCAGUGAAAUGCGUAGAUAUGUGGAGGAACACCGAUGGCGAAGGCAGCCCCCUGGGCCGAUACUGACGCUCAUGCACGAAAGCGUGGGGAGCAAACAGGAUUAGAUACCCUGGUAGUCCACGCCCUAAACUAUGUCAACUAGUUGUCGGGGAAGCAAUUCCUUGGUAACGCAGCUAACGCGUGAAGUUGACCGCCUGGGGAUACGGUCGCAAGAUUAAAACUCAAAGAGUAGUACGCGNGAGAGAGCGACGAGACGACGACGGAGGAGAG
rnacentral:rRNA from 1 species